rnacentral:rRNA from 1 species
GAUGAACGCUAGCUACAGGCUUAACACAUGCAAGUCGAGGGGAAACGGCAUCGAAAGCUUGCUUUUGAUGGGCGUCGACCGGCGCACGGGUGAGUAACGCGUAUCCAACCUGCCCAUCACUUGGGAAUAACCUUGCGAAAGUAAGACUAAUGCCCAAUGACAUCCCACGAAGGCAUCCGAAUGGGAUUAAAGAUUUAUCGGUGAUGGAUGGGGAUGCGUCUGAUUAGCUUGUUGGCGGGGUGACGGCCCACCAAGGCAACGAUCAGGAGGGGUUCUGAGAGGAAGGUCCCCCACAUUGGAACUGAGACACGGUCCAAACUCCUACGGCAGGCAGCAGUGAGGAAUAUUGGGCAGUGGGCGAGAGCCUGAACCAGCCAAGUAGCGUGCAGGAUGACGGCCCUAUGGGUUGUAAACUGCUUUUAUAAGGGAAUAAAGUGGGUCACGUGUGACUUUUUGCAUGUACCUUAUGAAUAAGGACCGGCUAAUUCCGUG